AUGAGCACAAGGGCUAUCGCUGUUGGGACCCUGUUGUGUCGCCGCUUGCGCAUCUCACGUGAUGUGACCUUUGACGAGUCUCGCUCUUACUACCCACGUCCUUCUUCCUCGAGCUUCUCUGUGGACUUUCUUUCUUUUCUCCUUCUUCCCGAUACACCCUACUAUGUGCCCCAUGUUUCACCUCCUCCUCCUGCACCUCUCCUUCCUUCUCCUUCACCACGGACCCCAUCUUCCACCUCCUCCUCCUCCACCUCUCCACCAUCAUCUCCCGUUCGUCGCCCUCUCUCACUGUUUUCUCUCCACUAUACUCAUCGUCCUCGUACUGAGGAUGCUUCCCCUGACGUGUCUGACGCGCCUUCCACCUCUGGUGACCCUCUGUUCACUCCUACCCCGGUUCACAACCUCCGUGCUCGGCCUCGCCCUCCGCCUGAUCGCUACUCUCCUGAUUGGUACGGUCUCUCCGUUCUUGCUGAGCCCACCUCCUAUCGGACUGCCAUGACUCAGCCUGAAUGGCAACUUGCGAUGGCCGAAGAGCUUGCGGCUCUUGAGCGCUCUGGCACUUGGGAUCUAGUUUCCCUCCCUUCUGGCGUUCGUCCCAUCACCUGCAAGUGGGUCUACAAGGUCAAGACUCGCUCUGAUGGUUCUCUUGAGCGUUACAAAGCUUGGCUUGUGGCUCGUGGCUUUCAGCAGGAGCAGGGACGUGAUUAUGAUGAGACAUUCGCUCCUGUGGCCCACAUGACCACUGUCCGCACUCUCCUUGCCGUAGCUUCUGUUCGUCAUUGGUCUAUCUCUCAACUUGAUGUUCAGAACGCUUUUCUCAAGGGCGAGUUACGUGAGGAGGUCUAUAUGCAGCCACCACCGGGGUACUAUGCUCCUGAUGUCAUGGUCUGUAGACUUCAUUGCUCUCUCUAUGGUCUCAAACAGGCCCCUCGCGCCUGGUUUGAGCACUUUGCCUCUGUGGUGACUGCCGCUGGUUUCUUGCCCAGUGAUCAUGAUCCCGCGUUGUUUGUCCACACGUCUCCUCGUGGUUGGACUCUUCUCCUUCUCUACGUUGAUGACAUGAUCAUCACUGGUGAUGACUCUGAGUACAUUGCCUUUGUUAAGGCUCGCCUUCGAGACCAGUUCCUCAUGACUGACCUUGGUCCUCUUCGAUAUUUUCUUGGGAUUGAGAUUUCCUCAACCUCUGAUGGCUUCUACAUCUCCCAAGAAAAAUAUAUUCAGGAUCUUCUUGCUCGCGCUGCUCUCGGUGAUGAGCGCACAGUUGUGACUCCUAUGGAGCUCAACGUUCAGCUUCGUGCCACCGAUGGUGACCCUCUUCCUAAUCCCACUCGCUAUCGUCAUCUUGUUGGCAGUCUUGUCUAUCUUGCUGUUACGCGUCCUGACAUCUCCUAUCCUGUCCACAUCCUGAGUCAGUUUGUUUCAGCCCCCACCUCUGUCCACUAUAGUCAUCUCCUCCGUGUUCUACGAUAUCUUCGUGGCACGAUCUCUCAGCGCCUUUUCUUUCCCCGCUCCAGCUCUCUUGAGCUCCAGGCCUACUCUGAUGCUACCUGGGCUAGUGAUCCCUCUGAUCGACGCUCGCUGUCUGCUUAUUGUGUCUUUCUUGGUGGCUCUCUCAUUGCCUGGAAGACAAAGAAACAGACUGCAGCUUCUCGCUCGAGUACAGAGGCUGAGUUGCGAGCCAUGGCUAUGUUGACGGCUGAGGUGAUCUGGUUACGGUGGUUACUUGAGGAUUUUGGUGUGUCUGCUACUACCUCGACUCCCUUACUGUCCGACAGUACUGGCGCCAUCAGUAUUGCGCGUGACCCGGUGAAGCAUGAGCUCACCAAGCACAUCGGUGUGGAUGCCCACUUUGUGCGUGCUGCUGUGCAGGAUCAGACUCGCUCUUCACUAUGUGCCCUCUGA
rnacentral:rRNA from 1 species